rnacentral:rRNA from 1 species
GACGUAGGGCGCGAGCGUUGUCCGGAUUUAUUGGGCGUAAAGAGCUCGUAGGCGGCUUGUCGCGUCAACUGUGAAAACCCGUGGCUCAACCAUGUGGUCUGCAGUCGAUACGGGCAGGCUAGAAUUCGGUAGGGGAGACUGGAAUUCCUGGUGUAGCGGUGAAAUGCGCAGAUAUCAGGAGGAACACCGGUGGCGAAGGCGGGUCUCUGGGCCGAUAUCGACGCUGAGGAGCGAAAGCGUGGGGAGCGAACAGG